rnacentral:lncRNA from 1 species
UUAUAUGUAGAUCCGCCCCGGGGGUGGGGAUGCAGAGAUGAAAAGGCAUGAACUUGCGAGUUAAGGAAAACCCCAUCUUCCUAACUUGAUCAAAGUCGGAAGGCUGAUAAAUGUAUUUUUUAUUUUAUUUUCACAGCGCAAAGAAAUAUCUUGUUUUAUAAAUUCAGUCCAGAUGUUUCUGAUGUAGAUAGUUGUUCAUGUUGGUGGACUUUCAGUAGCAAUAGUCGUUAGAAUGGUUGAAAUAAGUGAUAUCAUCUUUUUAUGCAACUAUGUAUGUAUGGUUGAGUGUGGAUUCACAUGGAGA